UCCGAAUUGGUGUAGUGGCUAACAUUUGACGCUCUCAUGAUCCCGUGAACUCUGGAAAAGAACCGUCAAGCCCGGGGUUCGAUUCCCCGAUUCGGAG